GUGAGGAAUAUUGGACAAUGGGCGCAAGCCUGAUCCAGCCAUGCCGCGUGCAGGAAGACGCAUCUAUGGUGUGUAAACUGCUUUUGUACGGGAAGAAACACUCCCUCGUGAGGGAGCUUGAUGGUACCGUAAGAAUAAGGAUCGGCUAACUCCGUGCCAGCAGCCGCGGUAAUACGGAGGAUCCAAGCGUUAUCCGGAAUCAUUGGGUUUAAAGGGUCCGUAGGCGGUUUAAUAAGUCAGUGGUGAAAGCCCAUCGCUCAACGAUGGAACGGCCAUUGAUACUGUUAGACUUGAAUUACAAGGAAGUAACUAGAAUAUGUAGUGUAGCGGUGAAAUGCUUAGAUAUUACAUGGAAUACCAAUUGCGAAGGCAGGUUACUACUUGUGGAUUGACGCUGAUGGACGAAAGCGUGGGGAGCGAACAGGAUUAGAUACCCCAGUAGUCC
rnacentral:rRNA from 1 species